CGGGGUGUAGCUCAGUCAGGUUAGAGCACCUGGUUUGGGGCCAGGGGGCCGGCGGUUCGAAUCCGCCCACCCCGACCA
rnacentral:tRNA from 1 species